AUCAUUAAUAGUUUAUCUAACCACAAUUUAACCAAUAAUAAAAUAUAAACUAUAAUAUCAUUGGUCAUCUAGCAUUAAUUAGUAAUAAAUUUUACAUAGAAAAUUGAAAACGUCAAAUAAUUUGGAACAAAAAAAUUCCUCUAAAAUGUCAUAUAUAAAAAAAAGGAGGGAGUAAUAAAUUAAAAAAAAACACUGCUGAAAUGUUUAUCAUUUACACGUAGGAGUGAGAACUGAAAAGUGUGAUAAAAAAUAAAGGAAAAUUACUCAAAAUAAAGAAGAAGGAGACAAACGGAAAGCAAUAAAAAGCAGUUUCGCUUUAUCAUCGGAAGCUUGAGUCCACCACACCACUCCCAAUCACGUUGAUUAUCAUCAAAUAGACAUUCGCCACAUCAUUUCUGUCUUUUGUCCACUUGUCUGAAAUCAAACUACUACUUUGGUCUUUUUAUAAAUUUACUUUAUUAAUAAGUUACUGUAAUACAAUUUUUAAAAGAGAUUAUAAAUCAAUAAAAUGUCGAGAGAGACGUGUACUGAGCUAACAGGUAGGCUACGGUGCCUUUAGGCUCCAAAUGUGUGCAGCCCUUUUCCACCCUUUUCCCAAAUAGGUCGGAUUGAUAAGCAACUCCA
rnacentral:lncRNA from 1 species